UCCGAUAUGGUGUAGUGGCCAACAUGAUGCCCUCUCAUCUGGUGAGAGGUUAGGCAUAGCCCCGAGUUCGAUUCUCGGUUUCGGAA
rnacentral:tRNA from 1 species